rnacentral:rRNA from 1 species
AAUGAACGCUGGCGGCAGGCCUAACACAUGCAAGUCGAACGAGUGGCGGAAGGGUGAGUAAUGUCUGGGAAACUGCCUGCUGGAGGGGGAUAACUCCUGGAAACGGUAGCUAAUACCGCAUACCAUCGGAUGUGCCCAGAUGGGAUUAGCUAGUAGGUGGGGUAAAGGCUCACCUAGGCGACGAUCCCUAGCUGGUCUGAGAGGAGGACAAGCCACACUGGAACGUAGACACGGUCCAGACUCCUACGGGAGGCAGCAGUGGGGAAUAUUGCACAAGGGGCGCAAGCCUGAGACAGCCAGGCCGCGUGUAUGAAGAAGGCCUUCGGGUUGUAAAGUACUUUCAGCGGGGAGGCGUUACCCGCAGAAGAAGCACCGGCUAACUCCGUGCCAGCAGCCGCGGUAAUAC